rnacentral:lncRNA from 12 species
AUGUUAGAGCUGCUGUUUGCACCUAAAUGCCCUGCUUUGAGAGCCCAAAUGAAACAGCAAUUGGAAAUCCAUCUACUGGUCAUGAAAUUGUCUAUAGUCUCUGAGGAUAAACUUUAUGCAAAUAUGAAGAUGGACAAUCAGAAAGCAAUAACAUUUCUGAAUGGGGCAGUGUGGAGAAAUCCUAAGAGAAAUAGCAUAAGAGCAUUUUGGAAUAUAUCCCGGAAAAGAUAACUUUCUACACAUCUGUAGACAUUUGCCAGGUUAAGUUGUUCUAUAUCUGAUUGCGAGAAAAUACCAGACGGAGAGAUGGAGUUUGAGGAGUGGCCUUGCCAGUGAGUAUUCGCAGAACCCUACCCCCACAGGCCUGGGUCACAGACUGCCCUUUCUCUACAUGACACUCUUUGUACACAGAAAUGCAUGAAUUCAUUCACUGAUCCAGUCAAUAGAUAUUGAUUGAAUAUUUAUUCCCUAUUGAUUGUAGAUGCUGAGAACCAUACUUAUGUCCUGCUUUAUUGCCAGAUCUGUGACAGGAAAUCAGUUUCUUUUUUUUCAAUAAAUGAGUUUAGGCAUUGGUAUAUCCA